UGUUUGUUUGCUUGAUUGUUUUUUACAGAGGCAUUCCGGCAGAUUUGUCCAUUUGGAAUUGGCAUCCUUGUUGGACCUGGUGAUGCAAGGCUGGAUGUGGAUGAGUGCCGUGAUCCAGAUAACUGUAAAUUUGGGCAGUGUAUCAACACAGAUGGGUCUUUCCGCUGUGAAUGUCCAUAUGGUUACAUCCUGGAGGGAGCUCAGUGUGUGGAUACCGAUGAAUGUGCUGUUGGAAAUCCUUGUGGAAAUGGAACUUGCAGAAAUGUGGUAGGAGGUUUUGAAUGCACCUGUGUUGAGGGAUUUGAGCCUGGACCAAUGAUGACCU